rnacentral:rRNA from 1 species
AUUGAACGCUGGCGGCAGGCCUAACACAUGCAAGUCGAGCGGAUGAAGGGAGCUUGCUCCUGGAUUCAGCGGCGGACGGGUGAGUAAUGCCUAGGAACCUGCCUGGUAGUGGGGGAUAACGUCCGGAAGCGGGCGCUAAUACCGCAUACGUCCUGAGGGAGAAAGUGGGGGAUCUUCGGACCUCACGCUAUCAGAUGAGCCUAGGUCGGAUUAGCUAGUUGGUGGGGUAAAGGCCUACCAAGGCGACGAUCCGUAACUGGUCUGAGAGGAUGAUCAGUCACACUGGAACUGAGACACGGUCCAGACUCCUACGGGAGGCAGCAGUGGGGAAUAUUGGACAAUGGGCGAAAGCCUGAUCCAGCCAUGCCGCGUGUGUGAAGAAGGUCUUCGGAUUGUAAAGCACUUUAAGUUGGGAGGAAGAGCAGUAAGUUAAUACCUUGCUGUUUUGACGUUACCAACAGAAUAAGCACCGGCUAACUUCGUG